rnacentral:rRNA from 1 species
UUGAACGCUGGCGGCAGGCUUAACCCCUGCAAGUCGAGCGGGGGAAGGUAGCUUGCUACCGGACCUAGCGGCGGACGGGUGAGUAAUGCUUAGGAAUCUGCCUAUUAGUGGGGGACAACAUCUCGAAAGGGAUGCUAAUACCGCAUACGUCCUACGGGAGAAAGCAGGGGAUCUUCGGACCUUGCGCUAAUAGAUGAGCCUAAGUCGGAUUAGCUAGUUGGUGGGGUAAAGGCCUACCAAGGCGACGAUCUGUAGCGGGUCUGAGAGGAUGAUCCGCCACACUGGGACUGAGACACGGCCCAGACUCCUACGGGAGGCAGCAGUGGGGAAUAUUGGACAAUGGGGGGAACCCUGAUCCAGCCAUGCCGCGUGUGUGAAGAAGGCCUUAUGGUUGUAAAGCACUUUAAGCGAGGAGGAGGCUACUUUAGUUAAUACCUAGAGAUAGUGGACGUUACUCGCAGAAUAAGCACCGGCUAACUCUGUG